UGCUACGCUGUUAGAACAAUUCAUCGGAGCAUUCAAGUGUUACCUAUUAUAAGCUGCCAAAAGACCAAGCAGUGCGAAGCUCUUGGCUGACAGUGGUGCCUGCUAAUUUCCACUGCAAGGAUUUCGUCCACGAAUGUUAUCAUAGGUUACGAGCGACUCCAGAGGCAAUUUGGAAUCUCGGCACGAAAUCGUCUGAUGAAAAUCUGAAGUGCCCGACGCACAACAUUUUGAACGUGCCACGGAGGAUCAAGGCAAAAAACGAGAGCAAAAAAGGUGCACGCUGAAGGCGGAAAUUAAGCAUGAUCUGGCUUGCAUCUGGUGCAUGAAGAAAUUGCUGACACGUUAGUUGCAGUCUACCUCCACCAACAGGGUGGAAAACAAAGGUCGCCAUUCCGAUUAGCUGCUAUCUCCCAGUUCAAGCACUUUUGCUCUCUGGACACUGG